rnacentral:rRNA from 1 species
CAACUUUCAACAAUGGAUCUCUUGGCUCGGGCAUCGAUGAAGAACGCAGCGAAAUGCGAUAAGUAGUGUGAAUUGCAGAAUUCAGUGAACCAUCGAAUCUUUGAACGCACAUUGCGCCCCUUGGUAUUCCAUGGGGCAUGCCUGUUCGAGCGUCAUCU